UGGGGAAUAUUGCACAAUGGGCGAAAGCCUGAUGCAGCGACGCCGCGUGAGCGAAUAAGUAUUUCGGUAUGUAAAGCUCUAUCAGCAGGGAAGAAAAUGACGGUACCUGACUAAGAAGCUCCGGCUAAAUACGUGCC
rnacentral:rRNA from 1 species